UUCUCUCCAGGCCCUCGGAAGGCAUAAGGUGAACCCCGGAAGAAAUGUGGCUCUGCAGUGCCACAGGCCAGACAAUAUGCUUGAAGAUGUAAUGUCUGUUCUCCUGACAAGUACUAGAAAGCAGGUACAGCACCAGAGACCUAAGGAAGAGCGGACUUCUCCCUUCAGAACGUGACAGUCAAUGACACUGGAAACUACAGCUGUGUCUACGACCAAAGGCUCCUUUCUUGGCCUCACACCCCAGUAACCGCCUUGAAAUCCUGGUAACAGGUACCACACUGGGAGAUUACACCAAGGUUAACCUCAUCCGACUGGGUCUCGCUGCCAUGUUUCUGAUUAUCACCAGGAUUUUGCUGGCCGAAGCCUGGCAUAGCCAGGAGGAGUCUCCAUGAGGAUCCACAUAAAGCAUCUGAGCCCCACAGCUGCCCAGGGGAAUGAUGGAUAUUGAUCAAGUUAGACCCACUGACCCUGAACAGUUUCCAGUGGAUCGUGCAUUCUCACCUCUGCUGAGAGCCACUCCAGGACAAGAUGAUGGUUUCCUCUUCUGUACUCCUCACUUGGGGCAGAGGACAGGCCUGGGCAUAAAGAUUAAUCCAACAGAAUAUUAAUUUAUGUAACACAGGACAUCUUUUCCCUACUAUAUGAUGUACCAUUUCUGUU